rnacentral:rRNA from 1 species
GAUAAACGCUGGCGGCGUGCCUAAUACAUGCAAGUCGAGCGAACGGACGAGAAGCUUGCUUCUCUGAUGUUAGCGGCGGACGGGUGAGUAACACGUGGAUAACCUACCUAUAAGACUGGGAUAACUUCGGGAAACCGGAGCUAAUACCGGAUAAUAUUUUGAACCGCAUGGUUCAAAAGUGAAAGACGGUCUUGCUGUCACUUAUAGAUGGAUCCGCGCUGCAUUAGCUAGUUGGUAAGGUAACGGCUUACCAAGGCAACGAUGCAUAGCCGACCUGAGAGGGUGAUCGGCCACACUGGAACUGAGACACGGUCCAGACUCCUACGGGAGGCAGCAGUAGGGAAUCUUCCGCAAUGGGCGAAAGCCUGACGGAGCAACGCCGCGUGAGUGAUGAAGGUCUUCGGAUCGUAAAACUCUGUUAUUAGGGAAGAACAUAUGUGUAAGUAACUGUGCACAUCUUGACGGUACCUAAUCAGAAAGCCACGGCUAACUACGUGCCAGCAGCCGCGGUAAUACGUAGGUGGCAAGCGUUAUCCGGAAUUAUUGGGCGUAAAGCGCGCGUAGGCGGUUUUUUAAGUCUGAUGUGAAAGCCCACGGCUCAACCCGUGGAGGGUCAUUGGAAACUGGAAAACUUGAGUGCAGAAGAGGAAAGUGGAAUUCCAUGUGUAGCGGUGAAAUGCGCAGAGAUAUGGAGGAACACCAGUGGCGAAGGCGACUUUCUGGUCUGUAACUGACGCUGAUGUGCGAAAGCGUGGGAUCAAACAGGAUUAGAUACCCUGGUAGUCCACGCCGUAAACGAUGAGUGCUAAGUGUUAGGGGGUUUCCGCCCCUUAGUGCUGCAGCUAACGCAUUAAGCACUCCGCCUGGGGAGUACGACCGCAAGGUUGAAACUCAAAGGAAUUGACGGGGACCCGCACAAGCGGUGGAGCAUGUGGUUUAAUUCGAAGCAACGCGAAGAACCUUACCAAAUCUUGACAUCCUUUGACAACUCUAGAGAUAGAGCCUUCCCCUUCGGGGGACAAAGUGACAGGUGGUGCAUGGUUGUCGUCAGCUCGUGUCGUGAGAUGUUGGGUUAAGUCCCGCAACGAGCGCAACCCUUAAGCUUAGUUGCCAUCAUUAAGUUGGGCACUCUAAGUUGACUGCCGGUGACAAACCGGAGGAAGGUGGGGAUGACGUCAAAUCAUCAUGCCCCUUAUGAUUUGGGCUACACACGUGCUACAAUGGACAAUACAAAGGGCAGCGAAACCGCGAGGUCAAGCAAAUCCCAUAAAGUUGUUCUCAGUUCGGAUUGUAGUCUGCAACUCGACUACAUGAAGCUGGAAUCGCUAGUAAUCGUAGAUCAGCAUGCUACGGUGAAUACGUUCCCGGGUCU